CCUACGGGCGGCUGCAGUGGGGAAUAUUGGACAAUGGGCGAAAGCCUGAUCCAGCCAUGCCGCGUGUGUGAAGAAGGCCUUCGGGUUGUAAAGCACUUUCAGUGGGGAAGAAAGCCUUGGGGCUAAUACCCUCGAGGAAGGACAUCACCCACAGAAGAAGCACCGGCUAACUCCGUGCCAGCAGCCGCGGUAAUACGGAGGGUGCGAGCGUUAAUCGGAAUUACUGGGCGUAAAGCGCGCGUAGGCGGUCUGAUAAGCCGGUUGUGAAAGCCCCGGGCUCAACCUGGGAACGGCAUCCGGAACUGUCAGGCUAGAGUGUAGGAGAGGAAGGUAGAAUUCCCGGUGUAGCGGUGAAAUGCGUAGAGAUCGGGAGGAAUACCAGUGGCGAAGGCGGCCUUCUGGACUGACACUGACGCUGAGGUGCGAAAGCGUGGGUAGCAAACAGGAUUAGAUACCCUAGUAGUC
rnacentral:rRNA from 1 species